UGCUUAUUCCAACCUAUCCCCCUUCCACACCCUCCCCUCACGUAAGUUCUCUCAGGUCUAUAAAGCAGCUUGAUUCUGUCACCUUCACCAGCUGCAAAGCUUCUUCCUCAGCUCCUCAGGUAGAGGGCUGCAGAUUCCAUUGCUAAAGGCUCUCCUGUUCCUAGAGCCGAGCUAGUCAUCAUGGGUAUGCAUUCAUUUUUCAGAUGGCACAGUCAAAACUAAAUGACUAAAAUUCAUUUAACUAACAAAAAGGAAGAUCCUGUCUGCCUCAGUGGGUUAUUUUGUACUAUCUGUGCAGAGGCGGGCACAGCGGACAAGUGGAGAAUCAGACGGCGACCAUCUUCCUGAGAGGAUUCAAGCCUCCAUGGGGAAGUUUUAUUUGAUCUCAAAUUUUGCCUAUUUAGAAUUGGAUAAGUAGACAAUGAAAUGGGGAACACAGUCGCCAAAGAAUCCCAUGUUCCUAUGCCACUCCCUUUCCAAAACUGAGUUAAUUCUCAGUGAAGUGAACCCAGAAGGCUAAGGCUAUGCCUUAGGAAGGACCCAAGAAGAUAACCCACACUGAGGCUGGGGUAGACUUCAGACGUAACAGCGAUCCACACUACCUCCUCAAGGAUCAGCAAUUACAUGACAAGCCCACAAAAUAUCUGGAUUAAAUAACUGACAAGAAAGAAUGAGCCUGCCUGCCCACAGGACACGUGCAUUCCAACAUGCUCAUCCAUGACCAAAUCCUAACAGGAAUCCACCCUGGCCCUGCGGUAGAAGGCCGGAGAGGGUUCGGCAGACCCAUGAUUGAGAGGAAAGAAUGUAGUCAUGCCUAAUAGCAAACCAA